GAUGAACGCUGGCGGCGUGCCUAAUACAUGCAAGUCGAGCGAACGGACGAGAAGCUUGCUUCUCUGAUGUUAGAGGCGGACGGGUGAGUAACACGUGGAUAACCUACCUAUAAGACUGGGAUAACUUCGGGAAACCGUAGCUAAUACCGGAUAAUAUUUUGAACCGCAUGGUUCAAAAGUGAAAGACGGUCUUGCUGUCACUUAUAGAUGGAUCCGCGCUGCAUUAGCUAGUUGGUAAGGUAACGGCUUACCAAGGCAACGAUGCAUAGCCGACCUGAGAGGGUGAUCGGACACACUGGAACUGAGACACGGUCCAGACUCCUAAGGGAGGCAGCAGUAGGGAAUCUUCCGCAAUGGGCGAAAGCCUGAAGGAGCAACGCCGCGUGAGUGAUGAAGGUCUUCGGAUCGUAAAACUCUGUUAUUAGGGAAGAACAUAUGUGUAAGUAACUGUGCAAAUCUUGAAGGUACCUAAUCAGAAAGCCACGGCUAACUACGUG
rnacentral:rRNA from 1 species